rnacentral:rRNA from 1 species
AUUGAACGCUGGCGGCAUGCCUUACACGUGCAAGUCGAACGGUAACAGGUCUUCGGAUGCUGACGAGUGGCGAACGGGUGAGUAAUACAUCGGAACGUGCCUAGUAGUGGGGGAUAACUACUCGAAAGAGUGGCUAAUACCGCAUGAGAUCUACGGAUGAAAGCAGGGGAUCGCAAGACCUUGUGCUACUAGAGCGGCCGAUGGCAGAUUAGGUAGUUGGUGGGAUAAAAGCUUACCAAGCCGACGAUCUGUAGCUGGUCUGAGAGGACGAUCAGCCACAAUGGGACUGAGACACGGACCAGAAUCCUACGGGAGGCAGCAGUGGGGAAUGUUGGACAAUGGGCGCAAGCCUGAUCCAGCAAUGCCGCGUGCAGGAUGAAGGCCUUCGGGUUGUAAACGGCUUUUGUACGGAACGAAAAGCCCUGGGUUAAGACCCGGGGGUCAGGACGGUACCGUAAGAAUAAGCACCGGCUAACUUCGUGCCAGCAGCCGCGGUAACAC